AUGGAUCGCCGCGCUAGCUCUGUCGUCCCGAGCGUCUGCGUCCAGAUCCCCGACCAGCCCCAGCUGCCGACCACACCGUUCGAGCCGCACAAGGCCAUACAUACACUGACCCCUUGCGUCCGCUCCGGCGACGGCGACGACGUGGCGCCGCCGGAGCGCCGGCUCACCGUGCUGGCCAUGCAGCUCGCGGUCCUCGAGAAGGUCGUGAGCCUCCUCGGCACGUUGGCCUUCAUCACGGCCACGGUGGCCCUGCUCGGCGGCUUCGCCAUCACGCUCGGCCGCACCGACUUCUGGUGCAUCACCGUGCUGCUGCUCACCGAGGGCGCCCGCAUCCAGGGCCGCAGCCACGAGCUGGAGUGGCAGCAGAGGGCCACGCCCACGUGGCGCCCGCCCGUGUAGUGGGCCGCCGUCGGCCACGUCUUCCACUGGCUCCAGCUGCUGUCCGCCAAGGUGUGCGCCGCCGUCUCCCUCGUCCGCCUCCUCACCCAGCGCUACGGCGGCGACAGCUGGACCAACCGCCGCGCCGCGCUCAACAUAUUCUACGGGCUCGCGCUCCUGGAGUCGCUGCUGUUCCUCGUGGAGAAGGCCCUGUGGCAGUGGAGGGUGGGGCACCAGCGCCUCCUCGAGCGCGUCGCCAUGGAGUGCCACCUCGCCACCCCGUCUGGCCUCGUCGCCGUCCGCCGCUUCUUCUACGAGUCUUACUCCCGGAGCCUGAAUGAGAGCAUCUUCGAUGGCCUGCGCAUGAACCUCGUGUCCUACGCCGACGACAUGCUCACCGCGGGCUCGUACGACGACCAGAGCCUCGGGGCCGGCAUCCUUGGCGCGCUCGCCGAGUCCCACGGCCUCGCUGAUCCCAUGAUCCGCAAGAUCGGCAUGUCCGCGUCCACCAUCGAGCGGCUCGUCCAGAUGCUCAGCUGGAAGAGCACGUCCGAGAUGGACGUGCGCAGAUCGGCCGCGGUUGUCGUCUCCAUGCUCACCGAGAGGAAGCUCGUCGCCCUCCGCGUCGCCAGCAUCCCUGGGGCGAUGGCGUCCGUCGCUUCGUUGCUGUACGCCGACCUCGACGAGCUCAACCUCCUCGGCCUCUCCAUCCUCAAUAAGCUGGCGCACGACCAUGGCAACUGCGACAAGAUCGGCAAGACCCGUGAUCUCCUUGACAAGAUUGUUUCCUACUGUAGCAUCGCUGAAGCACCGACGACGACGGACAUGCGACUGAAGGCGGUGAAGCAGUCGCUCCUCGUGGUGAAGAGCCUGACGGACAUGACCGGAACCAUCGGGAAGCUUCUUCGGAGGGAGCUCUCCGACAUCGUGUUCACCGUGAGCAAUCUCAGGGAGGUGCUGGAGCAGCGUGACGGAAAGGUCCAGUCGGAGCUGCAGCAGCUGGCGAUCGAGGUACUGACGAGCCUCGCCAUGGACAAGGAGGCGAGGGAGAUGAUAGGCGCGACGGGGGGCGUGAUCGAAGAGCUGGUCGCGAUAUUUCUACCGGAACAGGACCAGGCGAGGGUAAACCGGCAGACGGACGCGAUCCGGGUGGAGGCCGGCGAGGCGCUGGCCAUGCUUGCGCUGGAAAGCAGGACCAACUGCGGCACCAUAAUAAUGGCUUGCGGCGGAGGCGUGGAGCGGCUGGUCGAGGCUCUGAGUGACCCCAUCGUCGUCAUCGGGGCGGCGACAAUCCUGCGCAACCUGUGCACCUUCGCCGGGGACGAGUGGCACCUGGCCUCGGCAUGCGUGACAGAAAAGGCGCUGGUGCAAACGCUGCUGCAGAUCCUGCGGGAGUACAGCCGCCCGUGCGUCGCCGUCCCCCGGAUCCGCCGUUACACCAUCGAGCUCACCGUCGCCAUGAUGCGGCUGGACCCGCGUUACAUCGCCAUGUUUGUGGAGCAUGGGAUGGAAGGCGAACUGAGGCGCAUCGCGGGCACCACCUCGGAGCUCGAGUGCUACAACGGCUGCUCGCUUGUCACGUCUGCAUUGGAGCUGAUGAAGAUGUCCUGA
rnacentral:rRNA from 1 species